GUCUGGUUUUAUUAAUAUUAGUCAGGACCAAGUCAACGCGAUGCAGAACGGGGGCGGUGGAUGGAGAUUGCAGGGGCCGGAUCCGCGCACGGCAGGGCCUAGGGAGGCGGAUCCGCAGGCGGGCGGCGCGGCAGUUAUCGCCGGUGACGAAGAGGAAGGCCAAAGUGUGGUUUUCCGGGCGGAUCCAUGGCGUCGAGGGCUGUUGGGCAGAGAGGAGACAAGGAGGUGAGGGAGAGAAGAAGGGACAAAGGAGGAGCGGUGUCGCGACCUAGGAAGGAGCUCGCCGGAGCCGAGCGAGCGACGGCGGACGGGCGCGGGAGACGAAGGGAUCCGGUGCUGCGGCGCGAAUCCUGUCACAAGUGCGAGCCGCUGGUCUUCUAGGACCACCCCUUACGACGACGUUGCUACAGCGCGUGGCGGAGUGCCCUGAGGCCGCGGAUGCUGCUGCUACACCCGCACCACCAGCCCAAGAGUGUGCGCUCUCAGCUCUGCUGGGCCGGCCGUGCUCUCUUGCUGAUUCUUAUCUGCAGCUCCAACAUGAAAGCCUACAAAUCGACUCUUGAGAUUUGUCUUCAAAAUAGGAUUUUUUUACUAUGACAUACUCACCGAAGUUACAUGAUGUGCAGUUUAGAAAGUUGAUUACUGGGGAACUUUUACUACAUGUCCAGUUAUGGUUUCAUGAUAAAAGGAUCGUGCACCAAACGUUUGUUGAAUUGAUGCUUCAAGAAAAUGUAUGGAGUUUUCAUUGCGUGCUUCAAGUCAUUAACCAGGUAAAAUAAAUCCUAUAAGUUGUUCUUACCAUACAAUCUUUUGAACCAAUUUUUGUAAACUUAGUACAAUAUGAUUAUUGUUUUUGUCGGCUUUUCUAUAGAUAUAUUUGAGCUAUUAAAAAUGUGAUUAUAUCAUUUGUCAUCUGAAAACCAGACUCAUUUAUACAUAAUGGGACAUAAUGUCCAGAAAAUAGUCACCAGGUACAAACAUCACUCUUGACCUACAUUGUACAACAUCGCAUAAUUUUCUGUUUUUCUUGAGGUACCGCUCAGUAUUUUUUUAUCGCAUACAUAGAUAGGACAAAGGUCACAAGAGCUGAUUUUGUGCACCUUGCUGCAUGUGCACUCACUUGAUUAAGAUAUUCAAAGUGUGAGCUUUUGAAAUUUCCAAAAAUAAGUCAGAUUGUCAUUAUUAACCCAUGUGCACAUGCAAUGCUUUCUGACUCUCUGACAAUUGUCUUUCAGAAUAAUUUGAUGAACCACCAUGUCGCCCUUCUGCUUGGUUCCAUGGGAAAGCAAUUUACAAAGCUCCAGUUGGUCAAUACAGCCUUGAUUCCAUGUUUUCUACCACUGCUUAACUUCAUUUGAAAAACUGUUGUUGUUAUGUAUGCAGGAUACAGUAUAGAGUUGUAUGCAGGAUAUAGUACUAGCGUUGGAAUUUUAGGGCAUCCAAAAAGAACUUAGUAUGCUUCAACCCAUGUUUUCUACCAUUGCUUACCUUUAUUUGGAAAAUUUUACUGUUGUUGCUAUGUAUGCGAGAUACAAUACUAGAGUUGGAAUAUCAGGGCAUCCAAAAAGAAUUUACUAUGCUUCAGUCAUGGCAUGUGCUUACAUAGAGACCUUCGUUCUGUGGAUACACCUCUUCUUAUAGGACAGCGUGUGCGUGAUGCAUUGCUCCCCUUAGUUUUCGGAGGAACAUGGUGCUAUUCCUGGUGCUUUUGGUUAUGAAAAAACUGACAUUAGUCAGGAACUUUCUAAGGUGAUCACCUUACUGCUCUGUUCUCAUCGUACCACUUCUACACAGUUUACUGAGUUUAAAAAUCCAUGCGGUACUCUAAUUCUGAAGCUUUGGUUUAUGCGAGAUGUGGCUGAAAGAAGAAAUGAGAUGGCCGAGAUUCUAAUGGAUUUCCCCCAAUCGACAAUGAUAUUUCAUGACAUGAUGUGAAGAGUGGAGCCGCUUAAAGUACAUGGCGAGCUCACCAUGGCCGCCUUUCUUCCUACAGAUUGGGAACCGCCGACCGCGACCCAUGGUGUGUAGAUGAUACACCGGUGAGGCGUUCCAAGGACGAAGAGGAUCUCAUGAUUUUCAGGGAUGAGGAGGAUCUUGCGAUUUCCAGAUUUCAAGUGUCUACACACUAUAUGUAGUAAGUUUUUUAGAGAAGUAGUCAAAUUAAAUCUGGAUACCAAUUUAUUGGAACAUUAUAUUUCUUACAGAAGUAGUCAAACAACGAUAUCAAUUUGUUGGAACCAUCAAGGAGGUGACACUCCUGGAGGGUAUACAUUCUCCAUCUUAUGCCUAUUUGAAAUACGGUUAUAGGUUUGUACUUUGCCACUCAUAUUGUAGUACUCAACUGUAGCAAUGAUGGAGCAGGAAAGUGUGCUGAACCUUCUAA